rnacentral:pre_miRNA from 1 species
CUUUUUGCGGUCUGGGCUUUCUGUCUCCAGCUGUGGUUAGAAAGCCCUUACCACAAAAAGCGU